UCUAGCCUCCACCCCUCCCGCUCCGUCCCGCGCUCAGCGCGCUUUCUGGCGGGAUUUCCGUGGCUUUGCUUCUGUCUCCUGCCCUCCCCCAAAGAUGCAGAACGACUACACCUGCGUCACCAAGCCCCGCCUGUCAGCUCCCGGGUGCCCUCCUACUGCGGGCCUCCCGGGCUGGGAAAACCACCCUCCAGCGUUGCCCCUAGGGAAGGUUUCCCUAAGCCCAGCAGCUCUGAGAGCGCAGGCCUGGCGGAGGGGGAACCCGCCGAGGAGAACAGCGCGUAGAGGGGCAGGGGGGCUGGUGGACGGCCCCCCACCAGCCGCAGAGUGAGGGGGUGUGCCAUAACCCGGAGACAGCGAGGCCCCAGUCCUAAGUGUCCAGCAGAGCCUGCAACCACCGCUGCCGUCGGGUCGGGGCACGGCCCCUCUAGUGGGGGCAGACUAGGACUCCAACGCAAAUAACAGUCCACGCAUCCCUGUCUUUGCGGGGCUCCGCUGGAAAACUACCCGCGUUCAGCAAGUCUGAGCCUCGACACCUCUUACGUCCGCCCCGAAUCUUGCUUUAGAUGUGAGAAUCAGGGACCCCAGGAGAGGGGGAAGGAAGAGGGGACCCCUUCACCCGUGAGGCGCUCCCGCUCUGCACCCACACAGCAGCACGUGGUGAGAUUAGGGCUCAAUUACAAGGAGGCUAGGACAUCUCUGGGGACAAGGAGGGCGUGGCUGGAAAGAGAAAGCCUCGGCCCGGCAGCAUCCGGCGUGGAGAUGGGAGGUAGGGGGCUGGACAGCCUGACCCGGGGCUUCCCCUUCCUCCUCACCUUCCCGCAGCCCCCAGGACUCUGGAAGGGGCCUCGGCCCACCCGGACCUCGUCAUUUUCCCGGGUCUGAAGACAUUAGCUCUGGACGCCCCUCCUCUUGGAGGCUCGGACGCACCCACGGAUCCAGCGCGUGCGCGGGGCGGUAUGGCGCGCGGGGGUGCCCUAAGCCUCUCCGCGGGCUCCACGCCUGGGAGGCGGAGCUCCGCGGGGCCUGGGGCGGGACCUGGCUGGCGGGCGUGGCCUCGAGCUGAGUGUGGGCGAGGAGCCCGGCGGGCCGCGGGCUGGGCGCCCGCCAGGACCGCGCUCGGGGGUGUGCCCUGGUGCGUCGUCGAGGAUCCCGAGUGCGGGAUGCGGCCUUCCACGACCCCCACUAGCAACCGCCGCCACAACGUCCACGCCUCCUGCCCUUUGCAGGUGCCUGUUUCACGUCGCUCGGACGGUCCUGACCUGGAACUGUUCCUUUGCCUUCCUCUCUGCCUCCGCCCUGCCCCGUUGUCCCCUCACUUUGGGUUGUGCUGACCCUGGCAUCGUUGAAGCGAGGCGUCCAGGACCCCUUGAAAAAUGUUACCUCUAAGUCCCACCUAGGCCAGGCGCGAAGUCUCUGACCCCGCCCUAAAUGUCCCUUCUUUCUUGCUUCCGGUCUCCUUCUCCCCACCACGCCUGUGUCCGCCAGGACGCCCGAAACACGGGAACAGACUCCGCACACGGCUGUUCAUUGCCGCACAAUGUGCGAUAGGACAGACCAGACUGGACACAGAGCGAGCAGGCUGUGAUGGAAACACUGCAUCGGGAAGGACCUAGCUGCGUCCUGUGGCCGCGCAGACACAGAGGAGGGACAGCAGCAGGGGGCCACCCCAUUCUCCUCCCUCCUCCGCCACCUCCUUUCCCCAGGCCCCCAGCGGGCACUGGAUGUAGCCUUGGCCCAUCUGGAUCUCAUCCUUCCUGAGGAUCUGAAAAACCUUCCCUUGGACAGUAGUUCUCCAAAAGACUCAGCCAGGUCUGCCCCUCGCCCCCAUUUUGCAGAUGAGGAGUAUAGGAUGUCCUCCAGGAUCUAUUAACUUAAAAGGGGGGGGGGGGACAACGAGGUGGGAACAGACACCUCAGAGAAAUGUAAAAUACAUAUUUGUUUGCUUACUUACAGUUUUAUAAGCGGAAGUAUAAACAAAAGGCUAACAAAAACAGUGACCUAUGGGGAGAGGAAAACCAGGGGGAAGAGACGGAAAUUGGUCUUUUUUGUGUGCACCCUGUCUUGUAGCUUUGAGUUUGGAAACACGUAAUGUUUUACAUCAUUACAAAGUAAAAUGAAACAAGACAAAUCGAA